rnacentral:rRNA from 1 species
UACGUAGGGGGCAAGCGUUGUCCGGAUUUACUGGCGUAAAGAGCGUGUAGGCGGCCAUGCAGGUCCGUUGUGAAAACUGGAGGCUUAACCUCCAGACGUCGACGGAAACCGCGUGGCUAGAGUCCGGAAGAGGAGAGUGGAAUUCCUGGUGUAGCGGUGAAAUGCGCAGAUAUCAGGAAGAACACCAAUGGCGAAGGCAGCUCUCUGGGACGGUACUGACGCUGAGACGCGAAAGCGUGGGGAGCGAACAGG